rnacentral:rRNA from 1 species
GUGUCCUACGGGGGGCAGCAGUCGAGAAUCAUUCACAAUGGGGGAAACCCUGACGCAGCGACGCCGCGUGAGGGAUGAAGGUUUUCGGAUCGUAAACCUCUGUCAGGAGGGAAGAAAGCGCAUGGCGCCAAUCAGCCAUGCGUUGACGGUACCUCCAAAGGAAGCGCCGGCUAACUCCGUGCCAGCAGCCGCGGUAAUACGGAGGGCGCGAGCGUUAAUCGGAAUUACUGGGCGUAAAGCGCGCGUAGGCUGUUGUGUAAGUUGGGGGUGAAAUCCCACGGCUCAACCGUGGAACAGCCCUUGAU